AAUUAACCUCAACCUUAAAAACGAAAUGCCAAUAGGCCGCUUGGAACAAAGCAUUCGAAAGCCAUCUUCCCUGGAGACUCUUUGCAUUAGUACGAAUAGUACUCUAGAAUCUCGUCUCUCCAGCAAUGACAUACCCAAAAUGGAGCUACUCAAAAUCAAUUAUGUCAAUCAGUGUAAACAGGCAGUUUCUGUUACAAGAUCAACUCCUUCCCCAAGAUCACCAAUUGCAUCAUCAUCAGCAUCAUCGUCUCCCACGUCUAAGCCCCGGAUAGAGAGUGAUCCAACUCGGGAUUAUAGAUUUCUGGGCUAUAAGAGACCCAAUAGUCAUCCAGAGAUGCUGUCGAAGAAAGAUUCAUCGGUGACUAUGAUCGAGAAGUCACACCAUGAAACUUGGGAUUUUCUUCAGAAUAAACGAGCCAUUCCAACAGCAGCAGCGUCGUCACCAAUCGAAGUCGCUGGAUCUUCAUCAGAUUGUCGGGAUUGUUGUUCGGAAUGUUCGGAUUGUUCAUCUGGAACCACAGACUCACUGUCAUGUUCAGGAGCAGUGGAAAAGAGCAACAGUUGGAAUUAUCGCUCAAAGUUUGACAUUCCCAAGAAGCCAGAAUCUGUCAGUAUACCCCGAACAGAGCGUUAUACAAAAAUCGAUUCAGUCGAUAGGAGAGAUCAUGAAAAGGUUCAGAUGAGGCAUCCAAACUCUAUAAUAGGUGCAAAAUCAUCCUCGGAUGUGUCGAAAAUUCAGCGGAUGUUCGAGUCGGCUAGCCAACAUCAGAGAAAUCAUCAUGUGCCUAAGCGAGAAUCACUUGAUUCUGAGCCUUCGCGGAAAUUGAACUCAAGACAGGCCGAUUCUCCUCGACGAAGGACUUUCUCGCCAGCUGGGAGUGAUGAGAGAAUAAAAAGACUGGAAGGCCAACCUUACGACUCAGACUGUUGUGAAUGUAAAAGUAAUCGAAAGCUUCUGAGUGAUCAAAAAUCGAUCUCCAGAAUUCCCAAGAAGGUGGAUUCUAACGAUCAAUUGAGUCGACAAAAUAAAAAAAUGAUGGAUCAUAAGGCUGAAAGUAAAGACAUUCCAGGAAAGCAGUUCAAAAAGCAAGAUGUACAUCAAAUUCUAAGUCGACAAAUAUCUGCGGAUGUUAAGGCUUUAUCAAAAAAUUACUCCGAACCAACAGAAACGAGAAGCUGGGAGAUUAGCAAAGAAAAAUCAAAGAGCGAGCCCAAUGAACUCGUAACCUGGCAGGCUCAAAAACAAGCCGAGACGAAAAGUCGAAGAGAUUCAAGUGAUUUCGAGUAUCACCCUCGAAAUGAAUCCAAUGAACAAUUCAAUCGCCAGAUAAAGAAAAUGUUCCAAACCUCUGAGGGCAUUUCUUCCACAUCCAUCAAUCGCAAUCGAUUUUAUGACUCUUCACCGAGUUCAGACAACGAUUUGCCACAGAUAAUCGAUUCGAAGAUGCUCCGCAAGCGGAAUCCACAUCAAAUCAAAGUCGAACGUAUUCACAUUCGAAAGAAACGUCAACCCCUGCUGAUCAUUAAUCAGCUCUCCGAUUCCUCAUCGCCAACUACCGCCGCUGCCGAUCAUUAUUGCGAAAAAUCUUCAAACAAUAACGUUGAUAAGUCUAAAAACACGUGUGGCUUCAAGAAGUGCACUUUCUCGAACUGCCCGAUGUCAGCAAACGAUCCUCACAACACUAAUGACAGUCCGAAAGAUCAAUUGGUCAAGGAGAAUAACAAGAAAAACCUUGAGAAGUCAACCUCUUCACAGACCACCACGGAGAAGAAGAUCAUUUUGGCUUCACCAAUGACCCAAAAGAAAAAGCUAUCCACGGUUGAUGAUGAUGGCGAUGGCGAUCACCAUCAACGAAUCGAGGAUCAAGUGACAAUUGUGAUCAAUCGGGGUCAACAGAGCAGCGGUGACCCUAAUGAUGUUCAGAAUUUCAGCAAUAAAAAUCUAACAAAAGCAACAACUGAUGAGCUAUUAGCGCCAUCUGUGCUCAACAAUACGAUCGUGAUCAAGUCGCCAUCAAGCGAGAAGAUCAGCAAUGUGGAUGUCAAUUUGAUGAACAUCCAGAAUCGUAAGUUCAAUGAUCUAAAGAACAUCAAUCAUUGGACGGAGGAAGCAGAGAAUGCUGGUGGUCAUCAUCAUCGAUCACAACAGCAAGCCCACAGCGGCGGCAUCUCCAGCAGCGAUCACGUGCGGAAUAGCGUUAAGAUUUUCGUUCGCAAUUAUCCCGUUAACAGUUGCUCAUCAUCGACAACGUCGACGUCGUCGUCUGCCGAUAGUAAUUCCUUGUCGUCUGCCGAUGCCGACGACCGGGGGCGACGUGUAGGUAAUGGCGUUGGUGAUCUUAUCAAACGAUACGACUCCCAACAGACGGCGAGUGGCUCGAGUUGUGUGACAUUGUCUUCAUCAUCGGCGGCAGACGAUGAAGAGUACGACGAUGAUGAUGGCUCCGGAAGUGCCCUAUCUGCGGAUCUGCGAAAAUACCAAUCGGAUUGUAGUAGCAGUAGUAAUUGUAGUUUAUCUGUUUUGGUUCCUGCCUCCGUGUCAUCGGCAACGUCGUCAUCAAGAGGAACGGCGACAAUUCAAAGUGUCUUCCCGCCCUCCUCGACGAAAUUCGGUUGCGAUGGUGGGAUUUUUUGGAAUAAUUGUUAUUUCUAUGAUGGAGAUAAGAGUAAUUACUGUUGUUCGGCGAUAAGUUGUGAUGAUGAAAAUUGUCCGUACUACGAUUUGGAAGAUGACGAAACUGCAGCGCAUCAAUCUUCGGAUAAAGUUGAUGGUUGUUGCAAGGAGAAAGGGACUAAGCAAAAAGUGACACCCGUCUCCGCCGCCGUGGUGGUGGUAGGAAAGAACCGGAGUCCAAGAAAGGCUGAUGUAAUACACGACAUGAGACCAAGAUCCAUGGAUGGAGUCGUUGACUCAGGAGUUUCAUUAAAUGGCGAUACCGGUUCUAGUCCCGACAGUGAACACAUGCAAAAUCAACAGGACUCCCGUCUCAAACGUGGCCAUGUAUUAUCAGAACUUCUCGAAACCGAACGAAUUUACGUUACCGAAAUGAGUUCAAUCCUAAAGGGCUAUUGUGAUCAAAUGCAAUCGGAAGAGCUGAUGCACCUAGUACCAGCUAGUUUACAGGGCAAAGAAGAUAUUCUUUUUGGUAAUUUGCACGAAUUGUACACGUUUCAUAGUGAAAUCUUCCUCAAGGACCUUGAAAAUUGUAUUUCCACCACGGAAUUGGUGGCUUUAUGUUUUGUUCAAAGGCGUGACACUUUCUACCGCCUCUACUCGUUUUACUGUCAAAAUAUACCUCGAUCGGAGCGUUUGCGAGAAACUCUAGUCGAUACCCACCUUUUCCUGCAAGAAUGCCAAAAACGAUUAGGCCACAAACUACCCUUGGCUGCUUAUCUUUUGAAGCCCGUUCAAAGGAUAACCAAAUAUCAGUUACUGCUAAAAGAUCUUCUGCGAUUCAGCGAUAGUGGAAGCUGUACGAAAGAACUUCAAAAGGCUCUAGAUUGCAUGUUGAUCGUGCUAAAAUGUGUCAACGAUUCGAUGCAUCAAAUUGCUAUCACUGGUUUUCCUAGUGAUUUAUCACAACAAGGUGAACUAUUGCUACAGGAUUCCUUCCAAGUGUGGACGGAGAGUAAAAAGGACAUCCGGCUGAGGAUCAAACCUCAGCAAAGACACAUUUUCUUGUAUCAAAAGUCGAUGCUAUUUUGUAAGCAAACCUCAAAGACAGGUCACAAUAAGAGCACCUAUCAGUUUAAGCACUAUGUUAAGAUGUCACAAAUUGGUCUCACGGAAUCUGUUAAGGGCGAUCCGAAACGCUUUGAAGUGUGGCUUCAAGGACGCCAAGAAGUUCACACUCUUCAAGCGCCUACAAUUGAUGUGAAAAACAAGUGGGUGGCUGAAGUUAAAAGGGUGCUUCUCAAUCAGCUCGAAGAGCUCAAGGGUGAAAAAAUCAAACAAUACGGCCUAAAUCAUCGUGGCCUACGCCAAACUGCCUCUUGGGACACACCCAACUCCAUCAUUUCAACACCUCAACGUACAAUGAGCUGCGAAGUCUCAUCGGAAUCAAAUCGCAACUCAAAUUGCAGCAGCGAAGACAGUUGUCCACCUCACACACCAGGUGUCAGUUCGAUCUCAUCGACGGAAAAAGAAAAUCCAGACGGUUGUGGUUGGAGUUCGGAUUACUCCAACAGUGAGGAUGAAAUGUCAAUGAUCGAGGAUAAUUCAACACCGACAUUUUUAAAUUUUCUGGCACAAUGGGCUUACAAUCAUGAUGGUGGUUCAUAUCCGCGUGCAAGUAAAUCAAAUUCUAAAUUUUAUGUUUCGGUUGAACAUUAAAUUAUAAACAAAAAUGUAGAAAGUUAAAAUCAAAUUAAAUUAUUUAACUAAUAGUACAAAACGAAAAACAAAAAAAAAGUUGUAAUUUUGUAAAAAAACAGUAUUUCGAGCUGCCAUCAUAGAGUUAAUGCAUUUUUGCUGCAUUUUAAAUAAUUAAGCUUUAAAAAAUAAAUUUGUAUAAAUAUUGUAAAUAAAUAAUAAUAAUUUAAAACAAAAAAGCAAAUUAAAAUAAUAUGUGGAUGAGAACUACCUAUCUUCUAUAUCGUAUGAUCGCGGGGUGCAGUUAUACGGUUUUUAUUUUGGCCCACUAUUUUUCGGUCAUUGGUCACUGUCACAAUUUUUUGGCAAUAAAAUGUUUAUUUAUGAAUAAAUCAAAUACAAAAAAAUGUGUGUCUUAAAUGCAACUCCAUCGAGCAUCAAUUUUGGAGGCCAUCAUUUGACAUCAUUAUUUUUAUUACAUACCAAUUCAGAAGGUUGGUCCCCAGCCGCGUACUUGGAAUCAGUCAAUCGAAAAUCAUCUCGAAGUUCGAGUCGGAAUCAAGAACGAGCAGUGAACAACUACAUGAAUAUAAUCUCAAAUUAAAUUUUAAAAAAACCUACAAAAUAUUAUCAACCUAUCUCAAAAUAUCUAACCUGCCCAUAAGAAUAUCUUAACAAAGAACAAAAUUUUCUCUUUUCGAUGAAUUUGAUCGCGUUUAACAACAACAACAAAAAAUUAAAAAAAUAAUACAAAUUCAAAGAAGGCACGUUUAAGGCCUCCACAGAAUUACAAAUAAAAAAAAUAAUUAAUUUAUAAAAAAAAAAACGGAAUAUAUAACUUUCUCUCUAGUCUUUUAUAACAUUACAAAUAAAUUAUGUAUAAAAACAUAAAACUAACAAAAUUUUGCCCCGCAAUUUGUGAAUUAAUUGAUUUUCUAAUCGAAAAAUAAUCAACUAACACUUUUGUGUGGCUUUUCUUAUUUUUUUUUUAAAUUAUAUUUUUGUCUUUUUGUAAAUUAUUAUUCUUAUACUAUCGUUAAAUAUAAAUAUACCUUUGUAAUUGUAAUUUUAUAAGAACUUUCUUAAACAAAACAAAAACAAAUUAUUUAUUCCCGAGUCUAUAGCCUAAUGUAUAAGUCGAAAUUGUAUAAUUAUUUAAAAUUAAAACAAAUAACAAAAUAAUUUGUAAAUCUCUAAGAAACAAUACAAAAAAAUAUUAUUUAAUUUCUUAAAAAAUAAAUUUUACAUAAAUUAUUUGAAAAUGAAAAACAAAAAUUCUCAUUCUUAUAGCUAAGUGAAAAAAAAAUAAAUAAUUGUACAUUUUAUUUUUAAGAAAAAAAAAACAAGAAUUGUUUUAUUUUUAUAUUUAAAAGAAAAACAAAAUAAUUAAUUAAUGUGUGUUAAGGCAGUUUUUUUUAAUCAAUUGUUGUGUUUUAUUUUGUAAAUUAUAUAAAAGGAAAAAAGUUUUGGUUCUUUUUUUUUGUUUUGUUUAUUUUAUUUAAGGAACUAAGUUUUAAUAUUUAAAUUAUUGAAAUUGUAGAUUUAAAUUUAAACUAAAAAAAAAACAAAACUCAAAUUAAAAUACAUCAAUAGUUAAAUAUGCAAUAAAACACUUAAUUGGUAAAUAAAAGUGUGCUUAUAGAGGAAGACGUGAAAUAAAAUUAAAGCCUAUGUUAAAAAUG